CCCUUUUGCCCUGUUCGAUUCUUUUCAGAGAAACCGAAGCCGCUUCAUCGAAGAGAAGUACGAGAGAGAGAGGCCUUAGAGAUCAUAGUCGUCUUCUCUAAUUCUCAGACAUGGGUACUUUCAAGCCAUCUUUCAUCCUCUGUCCAACGUUCGUCUGAGAGAUUUUCGAUCUGCAAGUUCUUCCAUCGUUUCUCUUCAGCUGUUGAAAGUUUUGAUCAUGAGGACAAGGGUGAUUUUGCAACUUCACUAAAGCAUUUUAGGAAAACCCUGAAGUCGUGUAAACCAGAAAUGAAUUAACAAAUAUGAAGCAGGACCUACUCCCUCCCAUCCCAGGAAUAAUUGAAGAGAGCUAUCUCCAGUCACCAACAUUGACAUAAAAAGAAAGCGGAUCGAACUUUAUCUUCUAUAAGGGGAUUGGACUUUGAAUGCUAAUUUGUCUAUAUAUAAACCUUCCCCUGCUAUUAUAUUAUGUAUGAAAAUGCCUAGACUUAUGAACGUUGAUAUAUACAAAUGAUAAGUUUCCACUUUCCAUGUGGAAAUCUAAAUAAUGCCAUCCCCAUCCCUUCAACACCACACAAUUGACAGCAAUCAAACUUUGACCUCCUAAUAAUAAUUGAACAAACUACUUCUGUCUUUCUUUUCAAAAACUACUUCCGUCCCUGCACUGCACAAUCAAAAAAAAUUCUGAUCAAAUAGGAGAGAGAGAAUUAAGAUGAAGGUUGAGGUUGAAGUGAUCUCCAAGGAGAUUAUCAAGCCAUCAUCUCCAACCCCUGACCAUCUUCGCUAUUUGCAGCUCUCUUUUCUUGAUCAACUAGCUCCCCCAGUCUAUAACCCUUUUGUCCUCUUUUAUGAAUUCAAUGGCGAGGUAACAGACAGGAUACUUGGAAUUGAUGGAAAAUUAUUGGAAUUGACGGAAUGUUAUCGGAAUUGAUGGAAAAUUAAAGGAAUUGACGGAAUAUGGAUAGGGGUACAUCCAGGUGAAAUUUUUUGGGAAAUGACAAUUUACAAGGGAAACUCUGCCGAAUUUUCAGCAGAAAUCAAAUUAGAAAAAGAACUUUGAGUUUUAAUUAGAAGGGCAAUUUGGUCAAAUGUGCUCAGCACCUGCUAGAUGUCGAACACUCACAAGGUUCAGCUCGGAUUCCAAAGUAGAAUUUGGGUUGGGUCCUGUCCUAAAUUGUCAGUCCUCUCCGAAACAGAUUGAUACUAUCCGACAAAAAUUAGUUAGUAUAGUACAAUGUAUCAAAAAAGCCUAAAUUAAUGAUUUUGGUUGGGGGAUUGACCUACAAGGACCUUGUAGUUUUCAUGGACACCGAAGAGGGUGAUGGAACAAUACAAGCGUGUAUUAGAGCAUCUACAAUGGUGAGGGUCAUUUCAAUUUUAUUUCAAUAAAUUGAACUUUUGACUUGCA